AGCUCCCCAGAAGCAUGAAUCACUCGAUGUGAGGGAUGCAUAACAAAGGUAGAGUUGUAUCUUUGACAAGUAUAUAAAGAGAGGUGAAACACAUGUUCGAGGCAAGUUAGUGUUGUAAAGCAUGUCAUAAGUGAUAUUGGUCAUGUACUUUCACAUUGCAUGCUAUAUACUUGUAUUCUCAAGGAUUGAUAUGAUAAAGGCAUUUCAUUCUGCUAUCCAAACAUUGUGUCAUCCUUUGUUUACCCCAUUUGAGCCUUAGUGUUAUUUUCUUUCAUACCCCUCUUUUGGAAUCAAGAUAGAG
rnacentral:lncRNA from 1 species